CAGGAGAGGAGCCAGCAGCUCCCCUUCUCUCAGCUCAGACGGUCUCUCAGGGCUCUCGGGAGGCUCAGAGCAGCUUGGCUGGCAGAUUCCAGGGCAGGGGGUGGGCCCGCCUGGUCCCCUCCGUCGCAGCCAGUGGGCGGGAGGCUGGGCUGGUGAGCGUGUGGGCGUGUGUGAGCACACGUGCCCAUGCUUGAGACAUGGAUGCUGGUGUGAGCACCUGACCCCUCACCUCCUUCACUCGG
rnacentral:lncRNA from 1 species